GACCUUGUACUAUCAGUAUUCCCCCCUCUUUGCGUGCUGGGAUGUGGAUUUUUGGUGAUGUCCCAGGAUGCGAGAUCCUCUCUCACCAGUAUUCCCCCCCUCUCUACGCCUGCGAGGUUGUAUCUAUGCUUCCACGGAGGUUGUCACGCGCUUUUGCCAACUAUUGUCCGGUUUGUCCUAGCCGAAGCAUACUCCUUGCGCACCUGUCUGGCCUGAUUUUCCCACGGAACCCUGCUUGCCCACCUUGACGCCUUGCCUGAGCUAUCUUUGAGCACUGUUUGGGUUCUCUUCCCUGUGGCGGGUUUUGAGAGUACCUGACCCCCUCCUUUUGCUCGCC
rnacentral:lncRNA from 1 species